rnacentral:rRNA from 1 species
UACGUAGGGUGCAAGCGUUGUUCGGAAUCAUUGGGCGUAAAGAGUGCGUAGGCGGCCAAAUAAGUCUGAUGUGAAAGCCCGGGGCUUAACCCCGGAAGUGCAUUGGAUACUGUUUGGCUAGAGGACGAGAGAGGGAAGUGGAAUUCCUGGUGUAGGGGUGAAAUCCGUAGAUAUCAGGAGGAACACCGGAAGCGAAGGCGGCUUCCUGGCUCGUUUCUGACGCUGAGGCACGAAAGCGUGGGUAGCAAACAGG